GAUGAACGCUGGCGGCGUGCCUAAUACAUGCAAGUCGAGCGGACAGACGCGGAGCUUGCUCCUCUGACGUUAGCGGCAGACGGGUGAGACACACGUGGAUCACCCCCCUAUAAGACUGGUAUAACUUCGGGACACCGGAGCUAAUACCGUAUAAUAUCCUGAACCGCAUGGUUGAAUAGAGAAAGACGGUUUUGCUGUCUCUUCUAGCUGCAUCCCGGCCGCAUUAGCUAGUUGUUAAGGUAACGGCUUAUCAAGGCUACCAUGCGUAACCGAGGUGAGAGACUGGUCGCCCACAUGGGAGCGGGGACACCGUCCAGACGACUGAGGGAGGCAGCAGUCGGCAAUCUGCCGCAGUAGGCGAGAGCCUGACGGAGCAACGGCGCGUGAGUGAUGGAAGUCUUCGGAGCGUAAAACUCGGUUAUGAGUGAUGAACCGAUGUGGAAUGAACUAUGCACGGCUUGACGGUACCUAAUCAGAAAGCCACGGCUAACUACGUG
rnacentral:rRNA from 1 species